UGUAUCAACUUUCUGCUUUAUAUAGAAUCUGUGAUAAGUAAGGAGGAAACUGCCAAAAUACAAGCUUUUCUUGAAAAUGAACAGAAACGAAAAAUGCGAUUUAAAGGGAAAAAUCCUGCACGAGUGAAAAAUAUUGGACGUUUUCAAAGACCACAUCAAACAUUUUCAGGCAUGCCAGCUCAGCAAACACAGUAUGCACCGUCUAAUACUUCUCAGAUGGCUCCAACUACUUCUACACAACCCCGCAAAAUUCUUAUUAAUCCUCACUUCAGAGGAUUGCGUUUACCUCCACCUACUUCAGACCAAGUUCACACCAUAGAAGAAACUCCACAGGUAUCAGUGCCACCUGUAAGCUAUGAAACAUCCCAAAAUUUUCCACCUCCUACUUAUUCUCAUGAACUUCCUCCUCAAAUGCCAGCUGCACCACCUGUUUUCAGUACUCCCCCACCUUCAGUUCCAUAUAAACAGCCAGAUUAUUCAUCAUCUCAUAUCCAACAGCCUCCACCAUCAAUGUGGCCAACUACACCAGAUAUGACUCCUAACACAUACACAGCUCCUCCUCCUGUUUUAAACUACACAGAUCAUUUAACACAGGUGCCACCAAAUUAUCAUAGUAACUAUACUCUUAAUAAUUUUCCAACUACAAGUUAUCAAAGCACUCCAGUGCCUUUGCCUCAGACAGUUAACUAUAGUCAGAUGCCACCACCCAUUCAUGUUCAGUCUUCAUCUUAUGCCCCACCACCUGUAGUUAGUGCACCACCAACCUAUGUGACAGCGAUGCAUUAUUCAAAUAACCAGCAAAGAUCUCAAGAACUAAAUUUUCACCAGCAGUAUCAUGAUCAUGGGAAAGCACAGCAUUCAACGACUCAACAUAUUCAGAGAAACAAAUUUUCUCAAAAUCAGCGGUUCUCUAGGCCUGAGAAAAGACCUUCUAAUUCCAAUAUUAAGGCAGUACCUAUAAAGCAGCUCCGCAUGGAACAUCCUCAAAAAAAAACAAAUAUUCAUGUAAAUAAUUCAAAUAUCAGAGAAAUUCCUCUUGUCGACACAUUGCCUUCUACUACUGUUAAAGAGGAAGUGAAGAAACCUGUUCCUAUAGUAGAAGAAGAGGAUGAAAAAACCAAAGAAUUAAGAAUGAAAAUUGAAGAACAGAAACUACUUAGAGCACAAAUAUUAAAGCAUAAAGAAGAGCGACGGCGGCAAAUGGCUGCUCAAAGACUUUUGGAGCUGAAAAAAAGACAAGCUGAGCAAAAUAAAAAUAUUGUGACUAUCACUCAAAAACCAGAACAGCAAAAUUUAAUAAAAGUCCCCCAGGCACAAGUUGCACUCCAAACUAAAAUUAGUGUUAAGGAACGAAUAGGAUUACCACCAAAUAAGACUGCAGUUCCUAUGAAGAAAAAAAUUAUUGUUGUAAGGAAAAAGGUUCCUCCAGUUUCUAACACUGCUGCUGUUCCACCUGAAGCAAAAAAUAUACCAAAUGUUGGACAAAAACGAGGUUUGCAGACUGUUACACAAUCCCAAAAGAUGCAAUUACAAAAUAAAACUGCUGGAAUGAAACCAAAUAAAGUAUCUAAACCUAGUGUUGUUUCUACUCAACCAGUGCAAGACUCAUCAGUGCAGAAAAAUUUGCCUGAAAAUAAAUCUGAAACUGCUAAACCUGAGAUGAAAGUUAAUGUAGUUGCUAAUGAAAAGAAGUGUAAUCAAGUUGCUUCACAGCCUCCAAAAGGGAAAAUGAUACGUCUUCCAACACGAAGACAGCCCUUUCAAAGACCACCUUUUCAUGCUCCAUUGAAUAUUCCCAAUCAGAGAAUGCCUGGACCUAGGUUUGCUGGGCCAAGGGGUCCACAAUUCCAUUCGCCUCCUUUUAUGGAACAUCGAAUGAGAUUUCCUGGCCAUGGCCCUCCCAUGAAUGAUAUGCGAAUGCCUCCCCCUCCAUUUCAAGAACCUCGUCCACCUAUAUUACCAUAUAUGCCACCUGGUGAACGUGGUCCUUUCAACCAGUUUUUUCCACCAGAUGGUCCAUUUGAAGGAAAUAAACCCCCUUUUCGUAUGAGAGCUCCAGGAUUUCAAAACUUUCCUCCAAGGAGCAUGGAUAUGUUCCGUGAAAGAUUCCCUCCACCCCAGUUUCCAAACCAGAUGCCACCAAUGCGGCAAAUGUUUGAAAGGAAUGGUCCAGGGUUUCAGAGACCUCGCUUUCAAAAUUUAAAUGCAAAGAAAAAGCCACUGCCUGCAAAGCCAAUUCCCAAUCAGCAAAAACCUUCAAAUGGUUACAAAAGUACACAGCCCAAAGAAUUGAGUGUUGCUAGUGAUUCACAAGUAGUAGCAAACCAAAAUACUGCACCAAAACAAGUCAUUACACUUACAACAAAAAGUUCAGAGGAGAAGCAGGUUAUAAAACUGAACACAAAAAGUGUCUUAUCUGAGAAUCUAAAUAUUCCAAAAACACAGUCAGUCUCAGUUGAAAAUUUAUCCUCUUCAACAAAUGAAAUGCAGUUAAAGAAACUGUGCUCAUCAGUUGGUGUUGUAGAGAAUAUUCAGCUCUUGAAAGCUGAACGAAAAGCCAUAAUUAAGUUCAAGGAACCUAUACAAGCACUUAAUUUUCAAAAGAAGUACCAGAGGUACAUGCUGGACCUUGCUAUGAUCCAGGUGUCAUUGAUUUCUGAAUAACCUUUUAUGUGAAGUUACUGUUUUCUGACAGUUCGAAUUGUGUUGUAAAAAAAAGUGUGAACUGACUGAAGUGUGAAAUAUUUUUAUUCUAAGAAAUGGAUCUGUUAAUGUAAUAUCACUUAUUAUGAAUUAUAUGAUAAAUAUGAAUAAACACCUGAUGGAACAUUAUGAUCAUUAUUCAACUAACAUUCCAUGUUUUCUGAAGCCCUAAAGAAGAAUAGUAUUAUAAAAAAAAAAAACAUGCUUUCAUCUCUUUCAUACUUCAAGAUUUCAUAUGAAUAUUUUUCUGGAGGAACAAUUUUUAAGGAAGUUAUUGUUUUGAAUUGCAUUAAGCAUUUUGAUGCAAAACAGUGACAGUUACACUUGAGGAAUAAAUACAAGUUGUGAUGUCUACAAGGAUGUUAAUCAAUUGCAAUGUCUGACAUAAAUUUGAAGUCAUGAAAAGCAAUGAUUGUGAAUCUUCAGACCACCUAGUUUUCUUCUGUGUGUAAGAAAAUGACUAUAUAUCUAUAUUGACUGUGAUAUGUUCAGCAUAAUAAACUGUGAUAUGAUUAUUUUAUGACUGUGAUAUAUUAAGCAUGUAUUAUUAUUUUUAAAAGUUUAACUUUGGAUGUAAAGUAUUUUGAAGGCAAACUUUUCUUAGACAAAUAUAUCUGUAAAAUACCUGAAACAUAUGAAUUCAUAAACAUCCAUUCAUCAUGUUUAUAAUCUUUGAUUGUUGCAUGCAGCUGUUAUUUUAUGCAUAUUUUUAAUACGUUUUGUACAUAUAUGCAUAUAUAUUUAUUCCUUAAUAAAUAUUGUAUGUAUUUGUUGAAUUUUAUUAAAUAUAUAAUUUGUUGGCUUA